CCUACGGGAGGGCUGCAGUGGGGAAUCAUGGUCAAUGGGCGAAAGCCUGACCCUGCGACGCCGCGUGAGUGAUGAAGGUCGUAAGAUCGUAAAACUCUUUUCAGGGAUCUUAAAGCCUGUCUGUCAACAACAGGCAGGUCUGACUCUCCCUGGAAGAAGCCCCAGCCAACUACGUGCCAGCAGCUGCGGUAAUACGUAGGGGGCGAGCGUUAUUCGGAAUUACUGGGUGUAAAGGGUAUGUAGGCGGCCCUUCAAGUCGCGUGUCAAAGUCCAGUGCUCAACGCUGGGUGUGCGCGCGAGACUGACGGGCUUGAGGGCUGGAGAGGUGAGCGGAAUUCCCGGUGUAGUGGUAAAAUACGUAGAGAUCGGGAGGAACACCAGCGGCGCAGGCGGCUCACUAGACAGUUUCUGACGCUAAGAUACGAAAGCGUGGGGAGCAAACA
rnacentral:rRNA from 1 species